CAGGAUGAACGCUGGCGGCGUGCCUAAUACAUGCAAGUCGAACGAGUUCUGAUUAUUGAAAGGUGCUUGCAUCUUGAUUUUAAUUUUGAACGAGUGGCGGACGGGUGAGUAACACGUGGGUAACCUGCCCUUAAGUGGGGGAUAACAUUUGGAAACAGAUGCUAAUACCGCAUAAAUCCAAGAACCGCAUGGUUCUUGGCUGAAAGAUGGCGUAAGCUAUCGCUUUUGGAUGGACCCGCGGCGUAUUAGCUAGUUGGUGAGGUAACGGCUCACCAAGGCAAUGAUACGUAGCCGAACUGAGAGGUUGAUCGGCCACAUUGGGACUGAGACACGGCCCAAACUCCUACGGGAGGCAGCAGUAGGGAAUCUUCCACAAUGGACGCAAGUCUGAUGGAGCAACGCCGCGUGAGUGAAGAAGGCUUUCGGGUCGUAAAACUCUGUUGUUGGAGAAGAAUGGUCGGCAGAGUAACUGUUGUCGGCGUGACGGUAUCCAACCAGAAAGCCACGGCUAACUACGUGCCAGCAGCCGCGGUAAUACGUAGGUGGCAAGCGUUAUCCGGAUUUAUUGGGCGUAAAGCGAGCGCAGGCGGUUUUUUAAGUCUGAUGUGAAAGCCCUCGGCUUAACCGAGGAAGUGCAUCGGAAACUGGGAAACUUGAGUGCAGAAGAGGACAGUGGAACUCCAUGUGUAGCGGUGAAAUGCGUAGAUAUAUGGAAGAACACCAGUGGCGAAGGCGGCUGUCUGGUCUGUAACUGACGCUGAGGCUCGAAAGCAUGGGUAGCGAACAGGAUUAGAUACCCUGGUAGUCCAUGCCGUAAACGAUGAAUGCUAGGUGUUGGAGGGUUUCCGCCCUUCAGUGCCGCAGCUAACGCAUUAAGCAUUCCGCCUGGGGAGUACGACCGCAAGGUUGAAACUCAAAGGAAUUGACGGGGGCCCGCACAAGCGGUGGAGCAUGUGGUUUAAUUCGAAGCAACGCGAAGAACCUUACCAGGUCUUGACAUCUUUUGAUCACCUGAGAGAUCAGGUUUCCCCUUCGGGGGCAAAAUGACAGGUGGUGCAUGGUUGUCGUCAGCUCGUGUCGUGAGAUGUUGGGUUAAGUCCCGCAACGAGCGCAACCCUUAUGACUAGUUGCCAGCAUUUAGUUGGGCACUCUAGUAAGACUGCCGGUGACAAACCGGAGGAAGGUGGGGAUGACGUCAAAUCAUCAUGCCCCUUAUGACCUGGGCUACACACGUGCUACAAUGGAUGGUACAACGAGUUGCGAGACCGCGAGGUCAAGCUAAUCUCUUAAAGCCAUUCUCAGUUCGGACUGUAGGCUGCAACUCGCCUACACGAAGUCGGAAUCGCUAGUAAUCGCGGAUCAGCACGCCGCGGUGAAUACGUUCCCGGGCCUUGUACACACCGCCCGUCACACCAUGAGAGUUUGUAACACCCGAAGCCGGUGGCGUAACCCUUUUAGGGAGCGAGCCGUCUAAGGUGGGACAAAUGAUUAGGGUG
rnacentral:rRNA from 1 species